AACGAACGUUGGCGGCGUGCCUAACACAUGCAAGUCGAGCGCGGGCAGGACUUCGGUCCUGUUCCGAGCGGCGCACGGGUGAGUAACACGUGAGUAACCUGCCUCGAAGUUUGGGAUAACCGCCCGAAAGGGUGGCUAAUACCGGAUAAGCCCCCACUGGCACAGGCCAGAGAGGGAAAAGCCUUGGCGCUUCGAGAUGGGCUCGCGUCCCAUUAGCUAGUUGGUGAGGUAACGGCUCACCAAGGCGAAGAUGGGUAGCUGGUCUGAGAGGAUGAUCAGCCACACUGGAACUGAGACACGGUCCAGACUCCGUACGGGAGCAGCAGUGGGGAAUAUUGCGCAAGUGGGACGAAAGCCU
rnacentral:rRNA from 1 species